CGCCGUAAACGAUGGGUACUAGGUGUUGGGAGGAUUGACCCUUUCCAGUGCCCGACGCUAACCGCAUUAAGUACCCCCGCCUGGGGAGUACGGCCGCAAGGCUGAAACUCCAAAGGAAUUGACGGGGGCCCGCACAAGGCGGUGGAGCCAUGUGGUUUAAUUCGAAGCAACGCGAAGAACCUUACCUGGGCUUGACAUGUCGGUAGUACUUCCCCUGGAAACAGGGGGGGACCCUUCGGGGAGCCGUCACAGGUGCUGCAUGGCUGUCGUCAGCUCGUGUCGUGAGAUGUUGGGUUAAGUCCCGCAACGAGCGCAACCCUCGCCCGUAGUUGCCAGCGGUUCGGCCGGGGACUCUACGGGGACUGCCGGUGAUAAACCGGAGGAAGGUGGGGAUGACGUCCAAGUCAUCCAUGGCCCUUAUGUCCAGGGCGACACACGUGCUACCAAUGGCCGGUACAGAGGGCAGCAAUACCGCGAGGUGGAGCGAAUC
rnacentral:rRNA from 1 species